rnacentral:rRNA from 1 species
CCUACGGGUGGCAGCAGUGGGGAAUAUUGGACAAUGGGCGAAAGCCUGAUCCAGCCAUGCCGCGUGUGUGAAGAAGGCCUUCGGGUUGUAAAGCUCUUUCAGUGGGGAAGAAAGCCUUGGGGCUAAUACCCUCGAGGAAGGACAUCACCCACAGAAGAAGCACCGGCUAACUCCGUGCCAGCAGCCGCGGUAAUACGGAGGGUGCGAGCGUUAAUCGGAAUUACUGGGCGUAAAGCGCGCGUAGGCGGUCUGAUAAGCCGGUUGUGAAAGCCCCGGGCUCAACCUGGGAACGGCAUCCGGAACUGUCAGGCUAGAGUGCAGGAGAGGAAGGUAGAAUUCCCGGUGUAGCGGUGAAAUGCGUAGAGAUCGGGAGGAAUACCAGUGGCGAAGGCGGCCUUCUGGACUGACACUGACGCUGAGGUUCGAAAGCGUGGGUAGCAAACAGGAUUAGAUACCCUAGUAGUC